rnacentral:rRNA from 1 species
AGGCCUACGGGAGGCAGCAGUGAGGAAUAUUGGUCAAUGGACGCAAGUCUGAACCAGCCAUGCCGCGUGAGGGAUGACUGCCCUAUGGGUUGUAAACCUCUUUUGUAUGGGGGGAAUAAGCUUUACGAGUAGAGUGAUGACAGUACCAUACGAAUAAGCAUCGGCUAACUCCGUGCCAGCAGCCGCGGUAAUACGGAGGAUGCGAGCGUUAUCCGGAUUUAUUGGGUUUAAAGGGUGCGUAGGCGGCAUUAUAUGUUAGUGGUAAAAUAUUGGGGCUUCACCUCACUACGCCAUUAAUACUGUAG